UGGGGCGUGGCCAAAUGGUAAGGCAGCGGGUUUUGAUCCCGUUAAGCGGAGGUUCGAAUCCUUCCGUCCCAG
rnacentral:tRNA from 1 species